GAUGAACGCUGGCGGCGUGCUUAACACAUGCAAGUCGAACGAAGAUGCCGGAGUGCUUGCACUUUGGCAGACUGAGUGGCGGACGGGUGAGUAACGCGUGGGUAACCUGCCUUAUACAGGGGGAUAACAGUUGGAAACGACUGCUAAUACCGCAUAAGCGCACGGUAUCGCAUGAUACAGUGUGAAAAACUCCGGUGGUAUAAGAUGGACCCGCGUCUGAUUAGCUAGUUGGUGGGGUAAAAGCCUACCAAGGCGACGAUCCGUAGCUGGUCUGAGAGGAUGAUCAGCCACACUGGGACUGAGACACGGCCCAGACUCCUACGGGAGGCAGCAGUGGGGAAUAUUGCACAAUGGGCGAAAGCCUGAUGCAGCCAUGCCACGUGGGUGAAGAAGGCCUUAGGGUUGUAAACCCCUUUCAGCGGGGGAAGAUAAUGACGGUACCCGCAGAAGAAGUCCCGGCUAACUCCGUG
rnacentral:rRNA from 1 species